UACGGGGGGAGCAAGCGUUGUUCGGAAUCACUGGGCGUAAAGGGAGUCUAGGCGGUUUGGUAAGUGGGAUGUGAAAUGCCCCGGCUCACCCGGGGACCUGCAUCCCAAACUGCUGAGCUUGAGUACAGGAGAGGGUGGGGGAAUUCCGGGUGGAGCGGUGAAAUGCGUAGAGAUCCGGAGGAACACCGAAGGCGAAGGCAGUCUCCUGGCAAGUUACUGACGCUCAGGUGCGAAAGCUAGGGGAGCGAACAGG
rnacentral:rRNA from 1 species